UUCGAUUCGUUCCGCCCGUUACUUAUACUCGUAGCCAGUUAUUGUUAUGGCUCGCGCGGAAGUGGACGUAGGCUCGCCCGUGGUCAAAAUUUUACAGAUGUGUCUUACCGGUGGAUUUGUGUUACAACUGAAGUUUAGUGGUUUUAUGUGAACUUGAGUAGUGACUGAUAAGUGAUAACCUCUCGCUGUGUUGUCGUCAUCGAGAACUGUCAGUUAAUUGACGAUGUUACUCGUUGUUUGAAAAAAAUAAUAGAUAUAGCCCGCUUUACGCAUGGAUGACUCAUAAAGUGAUGAGUGUGAUGACCACAAUACUAAUCGAUUUAGUUUAGAACGACUGCAGAAUAAUGAGCGAACUUAAAGGGUUCAAUGUCGUAAGAAAUCUACACAAAAAUGAGGAAUACUAAUCAUAUCUACCCUUUUUUUGUUUUCGAAGUAUCUGUUGCAUAAGUGAUGUGUAACUGUGACCUGUAGGUAGAGUGCAACUAUUUAUACGCCCAUCGUUGGACGUCAGACGGCCUUUGAAAUCAUAUAGGGCGGACGUUUUCCAGGCGGUAUUUCCAGCCAUAUACUUUAGUCGGGCGUGAAUAUGAAUUCGCGUUUGACUUACAUAGACACAAAGUUAUUAUUGGCAUUGAGAGACAGACAGUGAGAGUUGAUUAGUGUACUUAGUGUAAGAUAC